GGACAGGGACCGUGUCAGACCCGACGGUACGGUAACUAGCCCAGGGCUCAGCCCAGUGCUUGGCACACAGUAAGCGGUUAACAGAUACCACUGUUAUCAUUAGUGCUUUGGGUGGAUCUCGGCUGUGGUGGGAGCCGGCGUGGGAGACGUCAUCUGAGAGCGGCAGGCCCUCCCCACCCCCGCCUUCGCUGGAGGACUGAACCUCUCGCCUCGACAGUGGUUCUCUUAUCUCGAUGGAGCUCCUUCUCAUAGGAAGCGCCGGGCCAUCCUGAACUGGUGUUAUUUCGCUGGACAGCUACCUCGGCUGUUUGCCGGAGCCACUGCCUGACCCGGAAUAAUUUGGAGAAAGAGGCUGGACUGGAGAAGGCUCCUCUAAACCUCUGAAAAGCGGUGACCUGUGCAUUCCUAGACAAAUCCCCAAAGUAUUCUGAAAACCGGAGCCGGACUUGACGAUCCUAGGUUCAGAAAAAGACCGGCUUUUCCUGAGUCCUAAUCACUUCCUUUCUCCUCAAACUCGGCCGGCUCUGAACUUUCCCCAUGCCUCUCCCUUAGACUGAUAAACUUGUUCCUAUCCCAGAGUUCAGAACGGUGCUUGACACACAGUAAGUGCUUAAGAAAUACCACUAAAAAAUACAAUCUACCUGCGAAGUCUAUUUCCAUGCAGACUAGGUCAAUGUUAACACAGCUAUGGAUCUUCCUGGAUUUCAAAGUUAACUGGGAGCAGUGUCCAGACUGAGAAUUUCUUUGGCAAGAUGACUCAUGAAAAUACGGGUCUGAAUACUCUCCCAAGUACUUAGUACAGUGCUUUGCACACAGUGCGUGCUCAAUAAAUAUGUUGAAUGAA